AAAAAGGAGAUAACGAGCUGCAUGGUAGUUCCAACAAAAGUGUCAGCCAAGCCCACGGGAGUCCUGGGGCUGGGAUGGCCGUUUAGAGUUGUCCCAAAUCAGACUACGGUGGUGAUCUGUCCCUGGAUGUGGGCUGCUCCUGAGCGGAGGCCUGGCUGUGGGAGAAGCCGUUUUCUUCAGCCAAAGAAUCCACAAGGAAGGCCGAUACCUGAGGGCUGACUUGGCUGCACUCCCAGCAGCUAGUGAAGUUUCUUGAACAAUAAUAAACUUAAGACAAUAACAAAAUUGGUGGUAACCUUACAUUUACUCAUUAGCUUAUCAUUUGAUGAUGAGAUAUUGAUUGAUGCACGUCCACAAGAGAACGAUUGACAAAAGCGUAUGAGAAACUCCACCUUUUAAAAGUGUAAUAGUUAUAGCAGAAAAUGGAGUAAGAGAGGCCCCACUGUUGUUGCCACGUCUGUACCAGAAAGGGACUCCUGUGUCUUGGGCUACAAAUAUCUCAGAAAUGAUAUAAUGAUGGAAUGCUCACAUAUGUUCAUCAGUCUGGAGUCUGAAAACGAUUCUACUUUUUUAAAAGGUCCCUGGAAUAGUUGGAUAAAAUACUGCCAGCCUCUCAAAAUUCUCAUCAACAGAUUCCAUGUUUUAUAUUUGUGUUUGUGGGAGAAGCAACUGAUGCGUAUUUUUGUUAAGUACUUUAAAACAAUGUAUUGGAAACAUGAAAAGAAGACUGAACUUUCAAAACAUGGACUCAAUAAGUAAUUAUUUUUUUACUGCCUGAAAAUGAAAAUUUCUCCUCUUCUGGAGUGGAGUGAUCAAGGUCAAGAGCAAAGUGUUACUUACUUCUUAGUCAAGAAGAGGAUAUCUCCUUCAGUGGCAUUUAAUGCGAGACAAAUUAAAAAAAGAAAAAUGAUAUGUGAAGCCAAAUGUCAUUGUCUUAAAUGGCAGUUCCAGCAAAAGGAAGUGAGAUUUUUGGGGAAAAUACUUGU
rnacentral:lncRNA from 1 species